AGAGCAUCUGAUGGGGAUGAAGCCUAACCUCUGUCUGGCCGCGCUUGUCUGGCUGUGCAGGGCUGGCCACUGCUGUGGACGGGAGUGGUCAAGAGCCUGCAGGGAGACAGAGGCUUCGCAGAAGGCGUCUCCUCCUCCACCAUGUCCCCCGACCCGGUCCGCUCGCUUCUCCCCACGAAGCAGGACAGGCUGAGUGCAGAGCAGCGGCUUUCCCGAGCUCCCCCACACGAUGGAGAGACAGGGCAGGACUCGGAACAGCUCUGUCCGCCUUGUUGGGCGAGCUCGGGUGCCCCUCUGCCCCUCUGGGCUUCCUCCUCACCUGCCAGCUUGAGUCAGCUGUCACCAGCGAGAGAGGGUCGCCCCCACAGGAGGCUGGCUACCUCCCCGCCCCGGGCGAGAGCUCGUGCUGGUCCUUCUGCCUGGAGUGCCCUCAGCCCUGCCUCGAUCCGAUGAAAACCUCCCUUCUUCAAACCCAGCUCAAGAAACAGCCGUGCCCAGAAGCUGUGGGCCCCUGGCCUGACACAUCCUGGCCCUUCGGUCACUGUCCUAACACUUCCGGCCUGUCCACCACUUCCCACACCCUUGUGGGUGCCUCUUAGGUUCCCCACCCUGGGCUGGGGCUCCCAGAGUGCCCACUUCAUCAUCUCAUAAUCAUAUUGAUAACUGCAGUGGCAGGAACUCUCAGGACUGAGCUCCUUCUCCUGGGGCCAGACUCUCCCUCAGUUCAGUUCAGUCGCUCGGUCGUGCCCGACUCUUUGGGACUGCAGCACGCCAGGCCUCCCUGUCCAUCACCAACUCCCGGAGCUUGCUCAAACUCAUGUCCAUUGAGUCCGUGAUGCCAUCCAACCAACUCAUCCUCUGUUCGUGGGGUUCUUAAGGCAAGAAUACUGAAGCGGUUUGCCAUUCCCUUCUCCAGUGGACCACGUUUUGUCAGAAUUCUCCACCACGACCCAUCCAUCUUGGGUGGCCCUACACGGCAUGGCUCAUAGUUUCAUUGAGUUAGACAAGGCUGUGGUCCACGUGAUUACAUGACUCUCCCUGCCUCACCUCAUUCAGUCUUCCCGUGACUCAGUGGCACAGGGUGACCGUGCCCACUCUACAGAAGAGGAGACUGAGGCACAGGGAAGGAGGGACCUGGCUAGGUCACACGGCUGGGAAUAGGAAGAACUGGGAGCCAGCCCAUGCCUGUUGACCUGGGACCACACCUCUGCCUGACUACCUAGACUGGAGCACACGGUCUCGCCCCUUGGCAAGGGCUGAAGAGAUGUCUGUCGGAUGAAUGACCGACCCAUGGCAAUGGACGCAGGAACAGUUCGCGUUUCCUUGGCACCCCGCCCCCACUCGCAGAGCAUGGCUGGCUGUCCGCACGGGAUGUGGUGCGAAGGCAGUGCUUCACACAGGCCACUGAGGGCUGGGGGCCUGUGCGGGUCCACACCCUCGCUGACCCAGACGUUCCCAAAAUGCUGGCUUCAUCCUCGCUGCAGAGUGACGGUGCUCCACGCCGUCAUCUCUCCCGGCCUUGGCUGCCCUCCUUAGUCAGGUGGGCUAGCAGUGCCCACUGCCCAGCCAAGAAGUGGGUGCCAUGGUACUGGGUGGUCUCCUCUCCCGAGUGGCGAGGUUCUCUUCAUCUCCGGUGGCAGUGGCGAGGUCUGACUCAGGUCAGGAGGACAGGCUGGGAGGAUGGAGUUCAGACGGGCCACUGAUGGUGCACAGAGGGAAGGCCGUGCCAGG
ensembl:lncRNA